rnacentral:rRNA from 1 species
GUGUCAGCCGCCGCGGUAACACGUAGGGGGCAAGCGUUGUUCGGAAUUAUUGGGCGUAAAGGGCAUGUAGGCGGUCAUGUAAGUCUGGCGUGAAAUGGUUCGGCUUAACCGAAUCCUGCGUCGGAAACUGCGAGACUAGAAUCACUGAGGGGGAAUCAGAAUUCCAGGUGUAGGGGUGAAAUCUGUAGAUAUCUGGAAGAAUACCAGUGGCGAAGGCGGAUUCCUGGCAGAUGAUUGACGCUGAGGUGCGAAAGCGUGGGGAGCAAACAGGAUUAGAUACCCGCGUAGUCC